AUUGAACGCUGGCGGCAGGCCUAACACAUGCAAGUCGAGCGGAUGAAGGGAGCUUGCUCCUGGAUUCAGCGGCGGACGGGUGAGUAAUGCCUAGGAAUCUGCCUGGUAGUGGGGGAUAACGUCCUGAAACGGGCGCUAAUACCGCAUACGUCCUGAGGGAGAAAGUGGGGGAUCUUCGGACCUCACGCUAUCAGAUGAGCCUAGGUCGGAUUAGCUAGUUGGUGGGGUAAAGGCCUACCAAGGCGACGAUCCGUAACUGGUCUGAGAGGAUGAUCAGUCACACUGGAACUGAGACAAGGACCAGACUACUAAGGGAGGCAGCAGUGGGGAAUAUUGGACAAUGGGCGAAAGCCUGAUCCAGCCAUACCGCGUGUGUGAAGAAGGUCUUCGGAUUGUAAAGCACUUUAAGUUGGGAGGAAGGGCAGUAAGUUAAUACCUUGCUGUUUUGACGUUACCAACAGAAUAAGCACCGGCUAACUUCGUG
rnacentral:rRNA from 1 species